ACCCGCUGAACUUAAGCAUAUCAAUAAGCGGAGGAAAAGAAACCAACAGGGAUUGCCCUAGUAACGGCGAGUGAAGCGGCAACGGCUCAAAUUUGAAAUCUGGCUCUUUUAGAGUCCGAGUUGUAAUUUGCAGAGGGCGCUUUGGCUUUGGCAGCGGUCCAAGUUCCUUGGAACAGGACGUCACAGAGGGUGAGAAUCCCGUACGUGGUCGCUGGCUAUUGCCGUGUAAAGCCCCUUCGACGAGUCGAGUUGUUUGGGAAUGCAGCUCUAAAUGGGAGGUACAUUUCUUCUAAAGCUAAAUAUUGGCCAGAGACCGAUAGCGCACAAGUAGAGUGAUCGAAAGAUGAAAAGCACUUUGGAAAGAGAGUCAAACAGCACGUGAAAUUGUUGAAAGGGAAGCGCUUGCAGCCAGACUUGCUUACAGUUGCUCAUCCGGGCUUUUGCCCGGUGCACUCUUCUGUAGGCAGGCCAGCAUCAGUUUGGGCGGUAGGAUAAAGGUCUCUGUCACGUACCUCUCUUCGGGGAGGCCUUAUAGGGGAGACGACAUACUACCAGCCUGGACUGAGGUCCGCGCAUCUGCUAGGAUGCUGGCGUAAUGGCUGU
rnacentral:rRNA from 1 species